AUACUCGGAGGUAACAAGAAAACCAACAUCAAUCAGCUUCUUCACUUCCUAUUUGAUCUUCACUGCUAUAUCAGGAUGGAUUCUUCUCAACUUCAGCUUGAUCGACGAGCAUUCUUGAUUCACCCGAAAUCUAUGCUCUAUAAUCUCAUAAUCUAAACCAGGCAUGUCUUGAUAGGACCAAGCCAACACAUCAGAAUAAUCUUGAAGAAGAUCAAUGAACCCCUUCUUAGCUUCUGGACAC
rnacentral:lncRNA from 1 species